UACGUAGGGGGCUAGCGUUGUCCGGAAUCAUUGGGCGUAAAGCGCGUGUAGGCGGCCCGGUAAGUCCGCUGUGAAAGUCGGGGGCUCAACCCUCGGAUGCCGGUGGAUACUGUCGGGCUAGAGUACGGAAGAGGCGAGUGGAAUUCCUGGUGUAGCGGUGAAAUGCGCAGAUAUCAGGAGGAACACCAAUUGCGAAGGCAGCUCGCUGGGACGGUACUGACGCUGAGGCGCGAAAGCGUGGGGAGCGAACAGG
rnacentral:rRNA from 1 species